UUGACCUCAAAUCAGGUAGGACUACCCGCUGAACUUAAGCAUAUCAAUAAGCGGAGGAAAAGAAACUAACAAGGAUUCCCCUAGUAACUGCGAGUGAAGCGGGAAAAGCUCAAAUUUAA
rnacentral:rRNA from 1 species